rnacentral:rRNA from 1 species
UACAGAGGUGGCAAGCGUUGUUCGGAAUUACUGGGCGUAAAGGGCGCGUAGGCGGCCUUCUAAGUCAGACGUGAAAUCCCCCGGCUUAACCUGGGAACUGCGUCUGAUACUGGGAGGCUUGAGUAUGGGAGAGGGAUGUAGAAUUCCAGGUGUAGCGGUGAAAUGCGUAGAUAUCUGGAGGAAUACCGGUGGCGAAGGCGGCAUCCUGGACCAUCACUGACGCUGAGGCGCGAAAGCUAGGGGAGCAAACGGG